UACGGAGGGUGCGAGCGUUGUCCGGAUUUAUUGGGCGUAAAGAGCUCGUAGGCGGUUUCGUAAGUCGGAUGUGAAAACUCCAGGCUCAACUUGGAGACGCCAUUCGAUACUGCGAUGACUUGAGUCCGGUAGGGGAGUGUGGAAUUCCUGGUGUAGCGGUGAAAUGCGCAGAUAUCAGGAGGAACACCGGCGGCGAAGGCGGCACUCUGGGCCGGUACUGACGCUGAGGAGCGAAAGCAUGGGGAGCGAACAGG
rnacentral:rRNA from 1 species